rnacentral:misc_RNA from 1 species
CUGAGUGUAAAAACUCCCAAACCCCUGUGAACAUACCUAUCGUUGCUUCGGCGGGACCGCCCCGGGCGCCAUUACGGUGCCCCGGAACCAGGCGCCCGCCGGGGACAUCAAACUCUUGAUUCUUAUAGUGGACUUCUGAGUGGAUUUUACAAAUAAAUCA